UGAAUGGUCCUUACGUGAGGUAGUAGGUUAUAUAGUUUUGGAGAUACACUCAAUGGCGAUAGCUAUACAGCCUGCUAGCUUUCCUUGGGCCAUUCAC
rnacentral:pre_miRNA from 1 species